AGUGAACGCUGGCGGUAGGCCUAACACAUGCAAGUCGAACGGCAGCACAGUAAGAGCUUGCUCUUACGGGUGGCGAGUGGCGGACGGGUGAGGAAUACAUCGGAAUCUACUUUUUCGUGGGGGAUAACGUAGGGAAACUUACGCUAAUACCGCAUACGACCUACGGGUGAAAGCAGGGGAUCGUCGGACCUUGCGCGAGUGAAUGAGCCGAUGACGGAUUAGCUAGUUGGCGGGGUAAAGGCCCACCAAGGCGACGAUCCGUAGCUGGUCUGAGAGGAUGAUCAGCCACACUGGAACUGAGACACGGUCCAGACUCCUACGGGAGGCAGCAGUGGGGAAUAUUGGACAAUGGGCGCAAGCCUGAUCCAGCCAUACCGCGUGGGUGAAGAAGGCCUUCGGGUUGUAAAGCCCUUUUGUUGGGAAAGAAAAGCAGCAGGUUAAUACCCCGCUGUUCUGACGGUACCCAAAGAAUAAGCACCGGCUAACUUCGUG
rnacentral:rRNA from 1 species